UUAAAAAUUUAAAGAAAUGUUCUCUCUCUUUCCUCCGCUUUCUCCCUCAACGCUUAAUUGAUCGGUGGUGAGUUUCGCCAUGGCCUCUGCCAGUUUCCUUGGUAUUGGCACAACCUCUCGUUCAGCAUAAACAGUAAAACACUCAUCUGCUUUGGUUUCGAAAAUGAGAGCACCCGUCCUCGUUUACAAAAUGGAGAGCGCUCUGCUGUGUGCUUCUCGCUUUGUUCCUUCAACAAUUAAGCAUUAUAGUGAAGUGGGUGGCUAGGUGCAUUUGGAAGGAAUUUUCAUACUUCGUUUUCCGUCCAAGUGCCAUACAACAAUUCCCUUUUGAGUAGAAAUAAAGGAGCUGCUUGUAGAAGCCAUAUUGUCAUUGCUUCCGUGGUAAUUUUCAUAUCCUUUUACAGUAUUGAUGUUUGUUUUCAGGUUUCCCUAUUUCUGUCAUUGAACUUUAUUGUGAAAGUGGGGGAAAUUUUUAAAGUGUUCAA